rnacentral:rRNA from 1 species
UACGGGGGGGGUAAGCGUUGUUCGGAAUUACUGGGCGUAAAGGGUGCGUAGGCGGCAGCGCAAGUCAGGUGUGAAAUCCCGGGGCUCAACCCCGGAACUGCACUUGAUACUGCGUUGCUAGAGUACUGGAGAGGAGACUGGAAUUUACGGUGUAGCAGUGAAAUGCGUAGAUAUCGGGAGGAACACCUGUGGCGAAAGCGGCGCACUGGACCACAACUGACGCUGAGGCGCGCAAGCUAGGGGAGCAAACAGG